rnacentral:rRNA from 1 species
GACGAACGCUGGCGGCGUGCUUAACACAUGCAAGUCGAACGGAAAGGCCCUGCGUUUGUGGGGUGCUCGAGUGGCGAACGGGUGAGUAACACGUGAGUAACCUGCCCUUGACUUUGGGAUAACUUCAGGAAACUGGGGCUAAUACCGGAUAGGAGCUCCUGCUGCAUGGUGGGGGUUGGAAAGUUUCGGCGGUUGGGGAUGGACUCGCGGCUUAUCAGCUUGUUGGUGGGGUAGUGGCUUACCAAGGCUUUGACGGGUAGCCGGCCUGAGAGGGUGACCGGCCACAUUGGGACUGCGAUACGGCCCAGACUCCUACGGGAGGCAGCAGUGGGGAAUAUUGCACAAUGGGCGGAAGCCUGAUGCAGCAACGCCGCGUGCGGGAUGACGGCCUUCGGGUUGUAAACCGCUUUCGCCUGUGACGAAGCGUGAGUGACGGUAAUGGGUAAAGAAGCACCGGCUAACUACGUG